rnacentral:rRNA from 1 species
GACGUAGGGCGCGAGCGUUGUCCGGAUUUAUUGGGCGUAAAGAGCUCGUAGGCGGUUUGUCGCGUCUGCCGUGAAAGUCCGGGGCUCAACUCCGGAUCUGCGGUGGGUACGGGCAGACUAGAGUGAUGUAGGGGAGACUGGAAUUCCUGGUGUAGCGGUGAAAUGCGCAGAUAUCAGGAGGAACACCGGUGGCGAAGGCGGGUCUCUGGGCAGUAACUGACGCUGAGGAGCGAAAGCGUGGGGGAGCGAACAGG